AACAGCUACAACCGGCCCUCGCCUCAGCCCCGUCCCAGCAUACUCUCCGGGUCCUCGCUGGCGGUGGGCGGGCCAGGGAGGACAAGCACUGGAGCAUUGCUCAUUCUUGAAGUCGUCUUCAUCUUCUGUGCAGAGGCAGCAUAGUACAGCAGUUGAGAGUAAGGCCUCUGGAGCUACACUGAAUGCCUAGCCCACACCAGUUAUCCUAUUGAAAGAGGGGACUGAUAGCUCCCAAGGCAUCCCCCAGCUUGUGAGUAACAUCAGUGCCUGCCAGGUGAUUGCUGAGGCUGUAAGAACUACCCUGGGUCCCCGUGGCAUGGACAAGCUUAUUGUAGAUGGCAGAGGCAAAGCAACAAUUUCUAAUGAUGGGGCCACAAUUCUGAAACUUCUUGAUGUUGUCCAUCCUGCAGCAAAGACUUUGGUAGACAUUGCCAAAUCCCAAGAUGCUGAGGUGGGUGAUGGCACCACCUCAGUGACCUUGCUGGCUGCAGAGUUUCUGAAGCAGGUGAAACCCUAUGUGGAGGAAGGUUUACACCCCCAGAUCAUCAUUCGAGCU
rnacentral:sRNA from 1 species